AGACCCACAGAAUCUAACAGAUGUCUCUAUAUUCCUCCUCCUAGAACCUCAGAGGAUCCAGAACGGCAGCUGGUCCUUGCUGGGCUGUUCCUGUCCAUGUGCCUGGUCACGGUGCUGGGGAACCUGAUCAUCAUCCUGGACGUCAGCCCUGACUCCCACCUCCCCACCCCCAUGUACUUCUUCCUCUCCAACCUGUCCUUGCCUGACAUCGGUUUCACCUCCACCACGGUCCCCAAGAUGAUUGUGGACAUCCAAUCUCACGGCAGAGUCAUCUUCUAUGCAGGCUGCCUGACUCAGAUGUCUCUCUUUGCCAUUUUUGGAGGCAUGGAAGAGAGACACGCUCCUGAGUGUGAUGGCCUAUGACCGGUUUGUAGCCAUCUGUCACCCUCUAUGUCAUUCAGCCAGCAUGAACCCGUGUUUCUGUGGCUUUCUAGUUUUGUUGUCUUUUUUUUUUCUCAGUCUUUUAGACACCCAGCUGCACAACUUGAUUGCCUUACAAAUGACCUGCUUCAAGGAUGUGGAAAUUCUUAAUUUCUUCUGUGACCCUUCUCAACUCCCCCAUCUUGCAUGUUGUGACACCUUCACCAAUAACAUAAUCAUGUAUUUCCCUGCUGCCAUAUUUGGUUUUCUUCAGAUCUCGGGGACCCUUUUCUCUUACUAUAAAAUUGUUUCCUCCAUUCUGAGGGUUUCAUCAUCAGGUGGGAACUAUAAAGCCUUCUCCACCUGUGGGUCUCACCUGUCAGUUGUUUGCUGAUUUUAUGGAACAGGCGUUGGAGGGUACCUCAGUUCAGAUGUGUCAUCUUCCCCGAGAAAGGGUGCAGUGGCCUCAGUGAUGUACACGGUGGUCACCCCCAUGCUGAACCCCUUCAUCUACAGCCUGAGAAACGGGGAUAUUAAAAGUGUUCUG
rnacentral:lncRNA from 1 species